AGUGGCGGACGGGUGAGUAACGCGUGAGAAUCUGCCUUGGGGUCGGGGACAACCACUGGAAACGGUGGCUAAUACCGGAUAAGCCGAUUGGUGAAAGACUUAUUGCCCGAAGAGGAGCUCGCGUCUGAUUAGCUAGUUGGUGAGGUAAGAGCUCACCAAGGCAGCGAUCAGUAGCUGGUCUGAGAGGACGAUCAGCCACACUGGGACUGAGACACGGCCCAGACUCCUACGGGAGGCAGCAGUGGGGAAUUUUCCGCAAUGGGCGAAAGCCUGACGGAGCAAGACCGCGUGAGGGAGGAAGGCUCUUGGGUUGUAAACCUCUUUUCUCAGGGAAGAAGCUCUGACGGUACCUGAGGAAUCAGCCUCGGCUAACUCCGUGCCAGCAGCCGCGGUAAUACGGAGGAGGCAAGCGUUAUCCGGAAUUAUUGGGCGUAAAGCGUCCGCAGGUGGCGAUUCAAGUCUGCUGUCAAAGCACGGGGCUUAACUCCGUAAAGGCAGUGGAAACUGAAUAGCUAGAGUGCCGUAGGGGUAGAGGGAAUUCCCGGUGUAGCGGUGAAAUGCGUAGAGAUCGGGAAGAACAUCGGUGGCGAAAGCGCUCUACUGGACGGCAACUGACACUCAGGGACGAAAGCUAGGGGAGCGAAUGGGAUUAGAUACCCC
rnacentral:rRNA from 1 species